AUGGACAGCAGCUUCGGCCGCCGGAGCAACAGCCAUGGCGGCGUGGACGGCGAGUGGCGGCGCUGGGCGGUGCUGGUGGCGACGGUGUGGGUGCAGGCGCUGACGGGGACCAACUUCGACUUCUCGGCCUACUCGUCGGCGCUCAAGGCCUCCAUGGGCGUCUCCCAGCAGUCCCUCAACUACCUGGCCACCGCCUCCGACCUCGGCAAGGCGUUCGGCUGGUCCUCGGGGCUGGCGCUGCUCUACAUGCCGCUGCCGGCGGUGCUGCUCCUGUCCGCCGUGCUCGGCCUCGCCUCCUACGCCCUCCAGUACGGCAUCCUCCUCCCCUCCUCCACGCUCGCCGCCAGCCUCCCCUACCCCGCGGUGUUCUUGAUCUGCCUGGCAGCAGGGUGCAGCAUCUGCUGGUUCAACACGGUCUGCUUCGUGGUCUGCAUACGCAGCUUCUCCGCAGCCAACCGCCCCCUGGCCCUCUCCCUCUCCAUAAGCUUCAACGGGCUCAGCGCUGCCUUCUACACCCUCUUCGCCAACGCUCUCUCCCCUUACUCACCAUCCGUCUACCUCCUCCUCAAUGCCAUCCUACCCCUCGCCGCCUCCAUCAUUGCGCUCCCAGCGAUCCUCCUCUGCCACCCACAUGAUCACAGCAGCCUCCGCACUUUGCCAAAGCAUGACAGGCGUGUCUUCCUCUGCUUCUACACCAUCGCAUUUGUCACCGGCAUAUAUUUAGUGACCUUCGGUUCUGUCACUACAACCAGCUCUGCUGCAAGGGCCGUCCUCAUGGGCGCCAUGGCCCUCCUCACACUUCCUCUCAUCAUCCCUGCCGCCUCGAGUUGUUCUAGUGUGGGCACACAUGAUCCUGACACUGAAUUGACAUUCAACCACAACGAUCCACAGAAGCCGCUCCUUCUCAACCAUGAUGACCACACGGAGACCAACGGCAGCAUGGCACAUAAAACAGUGGAAUGGCAGCCCAAGGGCUGUUGCUGUGGGACGAUACUGGACAAGGGCUGUGUGUUAGUUCUUGGUGAGGAGCAUAGUGCAAAGAAGCUCAUCCGGUGUGUCGAUUUUUGGCUCUACUACACAGCGUACUUCUGUGGUGCCACUGUUGGGCUGGUGUACAGCAACAACUUGGGGCAGAUUGCCCAAUCGUUGCAAUGUCAACCACAGCUCACCAUGCUUCUUGCAGUUUACUCCUCUUGCUCCUUCUUCGGUCGCCUUCUCUCUGCACUCCCUGACUUCCUUCACAGGAGGGUGUCAUUUGCUCGGACAGGGUGGCUUGCGGUGGCGUUGGUGCCCAUGCCAGUGGCUUUCUUCUUAAUGUGGAAAUUGCACGAUGUAAACACUCUGAUAGCAGGAACGGCGUUAAUUGGCCUAAGCUCAGGUUUCAUCUUCGCUGCGGCAGUGUCCGUGACAUCCGAGCUCUUUGGACCAAAUAGCAUCGGUGUGAACCACAACAUCCUCAUCACCAAUAUCCCUCUUGGCUCACUCCUCUACGGACAGAUUGCCGCCCUGGUAUAUGAUGCAAAUGGACUAAAGAGUACGGUACUGGACAACCUCACUGGCACGGUUGAUACCAUGAUAGUGUGCAUGGGUGCGAAGUGCUACUCAAACACAUUCUUUGUGUGGGGUUGCAUCACAGUGCUGGGCUUGGCAUCAAGCAUAGCCCUAUUCUUGAGAACAAGACAGGCUUACGCUACUGCUGCUGGUCAAUCUAGUUGUAAGCACCAUAGCCAAGUUUUGAGUUGA
rnacentral:rRNA from 1 species